CAGGUGGUUUGUUAAGUCAGAUGUGAAAGACCCGGGGCUCAACCUCGGAAUUGCAUUUGAAACUGGCAGACUAGAGUACUGUAGAGGGGGGUAGGAAUUUCAGGUGUAGCGGUGAAAUGCGUAGAGAUCUGAAGGAAUACCGGUGGCGAAGGCGGCCCCCUCGGACAGAUACUGACACUCAGAUGCGAAAGCGUGGGGAGCAAACAGGAUUAGAUACCCUGGUAG
rnacentral:rRNA from 1 species